ACCUACGGGGGGCAGCAGUAGGGAAUUUUCGUCAAUGGGCGCAAGCCUGAACGAGCAAUGCCGCGUGAACGAGGAAGGUCUUCGGAUCGUAAAGUUCUGUUGAAGGGGAAAAAGAGCGGAGAGAGGAAAUGGUCUCCGAUUGAUAUUACCCUUCGAGGAAGUCACGGCUAACUACGUGCCAGCAGCCGCGGUAAUACGUAGGUGGCGAGCGUUAUCCGGAAUGAUUGGGCGUAAAGGGUGCGUAGGCGGCCUGCUAAGUCUGGAGUGAAAGGUACCGGCUCAACCUGUACAGGCUCUGGAAACUG
rnacentral:rRNA from 1 species